rnacentral:rRNA from 1 species
AGAGUUUGAUCAUGGCUCAGGAUUAACGCUGGCGGCGUGCCUAAUACAUGCAAGUCGAAUGGUAGUAGCAAUACAAACCAUGGCGAACGGGUGAGUAACACGUAGGCAACCUGACUUUAAGACGAGGAUAACCGUUGGAAACGACGGAUAAUACUGGAUAGGACAUCAGAAAGGGCAUCCUUAGAUGUUUAAAGGUUAUUAUGCCACUUAGAGAGGGGCCUGCGGCGCAUUAGCUAGUUGGUGAGAUAACAGCCCACCAAGGCGAUGAUGCGUAGCCGGACUGAGAGGUUGAACGGCCACAAUGGAACUGAGAACGGUCCAUACUCCUACGGGAGGCAGCAGUAGGGAAUUUUCGGCAAUGGGCGCAAGCCUGACCGAAGCAACGCCGCGUGAACGAAGAGGUUAUUCGUAAUGUAAAGUUCUUUUAUCUGGGAAGAAAAACAAAUUGACGGUACCAGAUGAAUAAGCUCCGGCUAACUACGUGCCAGCAGCAGC